UAAUCAUGAUAACUUUACGAAUCGCAUGGUCUUGUACCGGCGAUAGUUCAUUCAAAUAUCUGCCCUAUCAACUUUCGAUGGUAGUAUAGAGGACUACCAUGGUGGUAACGGGUAACGGAGAAUCAGGGUUUGAUUCCGGAGAAGGAGCCUGAGAAACGGCUACUACUUCCAAGGAAGGCAGCAGGCGCGCAAAUUACCCAAUCCCGACACGGGGAGGUAGUGACAAAAAAUAACAAUACCGGUCUUAUUUAAGUCUGGUAAUUGGAAUGAGUACAAUCUAAAACCUUUAACGAGUAUCAAUUGGAGGGCAAGUCUGGUGCCAGCAGCCGCGGUAAUUCCAGCUCCAAUAGCAUAUAUUAAAGUUGUUGCAGUUAAAAAGCUCGUAGUUGGAUUUUGAUGUUAUUUAUUAUGACCCGCCUUGUAUAAGGUGUGUUUGUUGUGAUAAGUACAUCUCCU
rnacentral:rRNA from 1 species